UACGGGGGGGGUAAGCGUUGUUCGGAAUUACUGGGCGUAAAGGGCUCGUAGGCGGCCAACUAAGUCAUACGUGAAAUCCCUCAGCUUAACUGGGGAACUGCGUGUGAUACUGGAUGGCUUGGAUUUGGGAGAGGGAUGCGGAAUUCCAGGUGUAGCGGUGAAAUGCGUAGAUAUCGGGAGGAACACCGGUGGCGAAGGCGGCCUUCUGGACGGAUACUGACGCUGAGACGCGAAAGCGUGGGGAGCAAACAGG
rnacentral:rRNA from 1 species